rnacentral:rRNA from 1 species
UACGUAGGGUGCAAGCGUUAAUCGGAAUUACUGGGCGUAAAGCGUGCGCAGGCGGUUAUGCAAGACAGAUGUGAAAUCCCCGGGCUCAACCUGGGAACUGCAUUUUGUGACUGCAUGACUCGAGUACGGCAGAGGGGGGAUGGAAUUCCGCGUGUAGCAGUGAAAUGCGUAGAUAUGCGGAGGAACACCGAUGGCGAAGGCAAUCCCCUGGGCCUGUACUGACGCUCAUGCACGAAAGCGUGGGGAGCAAACAGG